GAUGAAGAACGUCGCGAAAUGCGAUACUUGGUGUGAAUUGCAGAAUCCCGUGAACCAUCGAGUCUUUGAACGCAAGUUGCGCCCGAAGCCAUUAGGCCGAGGGCACGCCUGCCUGGGCGUCACACGUCGUUGCCCCCCCAUCUACUCCUUCGGGAUUGCGGGGGGCGGAUGAUGGCCUCCCGUGCGCCUCGUCGCGCGGUUGGCAUAAAUACCAAGUCCUCGGCGACGCACGCCACGACAAUCGGUGGUUGCGAAACCUCGGUUGCCCGUCGUGUGCGGUCGUCGCGCAUCGAGGGCUCGAAAAAAUUGCCGGGCUCCGGCUCGGCUUUCAACGCGACCCCAGGUCAGGCGGGGUUACCCGCUGAAUUUAAGCAUAUCAAUAAGCGGAGGA
rnacentral:misc_RNA from 1 species